rnacentral:rRNA from 1 species
GACGAACGCUGGCGGCGUGCUUAACACAUGCAAGUCGAACGAAGAGCGACGGAAGCUUGCUUCUAUCAAUCUUAGUGGCGAACGGGUGAGUAACGCGUAAUCAACCUGCCCUUCAGAGGAGGACAACAGUUGGAAACGACUGCUAAUACCGCAUACGAUCUAAUCUCGGCAUCGAGGAUGGAUGAAAGGUGGCCUCUACAUGUAAGCUAUCACUGAAGGAGGGGAUUGCGUCUGAUUAGCUAGUUGGAGGGGUAACGGCCCACCAAGGCGAUGAUCAGUAGCCGGUCUGAGAGGAUGAACGGCCACAUUGGGACUGAGACACGGCCCAGACUCCUACGGGAGGCAGCAGUGGGGAAUCUUCCGCAAUGGACGAAAGUCUGACGGAGCAACGCCGCGUGAGUGAUGACGGCCUUCGGGUUGUAAAGCUCUGUUAAUCGGGACGAAAGGCCUUCUUGCGAAUAGUGAGAAGGAUUGACGGUACCGGAAGAGAAAGCCACGGCUAACUACGUG